rnacentral:rRNA from 1 species
CCGUAAUCGGAAUGAGUACACUUUAAAUCCUUUAACAAGGAUCCAUUGGAGGGCAAGUCUGGUGCCAGCAGCCGCGGUAAUUCCAGCUCCAAUAGCGUAUAUUAAAGUUGUUGCGGUUAAAAAGCUCGUAGUUGGUUCUGCGUGCCGCGCUGUCGGUUCGCCGCCUGUCGGUGUAACUGGCAUGUUCGCGGCAUGUCCUGUCGGUGGUGAACAGGGUCCACGAUGCUGCAUUAGGCUUUUAAAGGCCGAUGUUAGCGUCGUGUGUACUUUUGUUGGCCGAUCUCUCCUACUUCGGUGCUCUUAAACGAGUGUCGAGGUAGGCCGACACGUUCACUUUGAACAAAUUAGAGUGCUUAAAGCAGGCUGAAAUAUCUGCCUGAAUAGUGGUGCAUGGAAUGAUAAAACAGGACCUCGGUUCUAUUUUGUUGGUUUUAGGAAUAUGAGGUAAUGAUCAAUGUGGACUGGCGGGGGCAUUCGUAUUGCGACGUUAGAGGUGAAAUUCUUGGAUCGUCGCAAGACGCACUAGAGCGAAAGCAUUUGCCAAGUAUGUCUUAAUUGAUCAAGAACGAAAGUUAGAGGUUCGAAGGCGAUUAGAUACCGCCCUAGUUCUAACCAUAAACGAUGCCAGCCAGCGAUCCGCCGAUGUUCCUUUAAUGACUCGGCGGGGAGCUUCUACCCGGGAAACCAAAGCUUUUGGGUUCCGGGGGAAGUAUGGUUGCAAAGCUGAAACU